rnacentral:rRNA from 1 species
GAUGAACGCUGGCGGCGUGCUUAACACAUGCAAGUCGAACGAACCUUCGGGUUAGUGGCGGACGGGUGAGUAACGCGUGAGAAUCUGCCCUCAGGAGGGGGAUAAAAAAUGGAAACGGCCGCUAAUACCCCAUAUGCCGCGAGGUGAAAUGAAUUUCGCCUGAGGAUGAGCUCGCGUCUGAUUAGCUAGUUGGUGGGGUAAAGGCCUACCAAGGCAUCGAUCAGUAGCUGGUCUGAGAGGAUGAUCAGCCACACUGGGACUGAGACACGGCCCAGACUCCUACGGGAGGCAGCAGUGGGGAAUUUUCCGCAAUGGGCGAAAGCCUGACGGAGCGAUACCGCGUGAGGGAUGACGGCCUAUGGGUUGUAAACCUCUUUUAUCAAGGAAGAAGAUCUGACGGCUCUUAAGAGUAAGCCACGGCUAAUUCCGUG